rnacentral:lncRNA from 1 species
GUUUAAUCUUCCAGUUUUUAGUUCUCCACCCAGGAGAUAAAGAAUCACAUUUAGCUUUCUCAUAAUGGUAGCUUGUUGGAAUUAAUUUCUGCAGUUUUCUGAAUUUGGAAGAUGUGGAUCUUCAUAAAUCAGACAAUCUAGAUGUGAAUUGCAAUCUGGACUUUGCGGCCCCUUUGGAAGGCAAGUACAUUGAGACAUUUUCUCUUAGAUUGUUGUGCAACAAAACUGCUAUAGAAAUACUAGGCAGUUUAACUUUUUUAGCCUUUUCAAUAUGUCCUGUCUCUUACAGAGUGUAUUAUUCCUGACAAAAUGAUCAAAAAGUUGUGUUUUGAAGUGUGGGCUGUUUGUUCCUCACCACAGUUGUUCAGGACUUGUCCUGGCUUGCUCAUGUGAUCGUGUGCCCAGAGACCAGCUGCAGUUUCAAAGUGGAUUUGCUGUGCAGCAGUAGAAACCUCUUGGAAAAUAGUGCUCAAGGGAUUAUGUGUGCCUCAGUCCUGCAUCGAGAGAGUUGAUGGCAAGAGCACAGAUGAUGGAGCUCAUAAAGGCAAAUCCCCUGUGUUAGAAGGAGAAGACAGCAAACGAAGCAAGGAGCACAGUGACCUUGCAGGUCACAGGUCAACCAGUGUUUGUCUCAGUUGUUUAGGAUCCUAUUUGCCUUGCUAUCCAGCUGCAGGACAGAUGCUUUUAAUAUAUCUUCUAAAGCUCUGAGAAGAUUGUAGAUUUCAAUUUUAUGCUAUCAAGAAAAGUAUUCUCUGUUAGCAGACAUUUUCAUGGUCUGGUUCUAGAAAUGCUUUCUCUUAGAUGCAUAACUGUCCACAGUCAACGAGGAAACAGAGAUCCCUUGCGUGUCCCUAGUUAAUGCACCUGGGUUUAGUGCUUGGUUUUAACGUGCAGCAUGGGUUUAGCAAAAAGUAGCUAUAGAAGCAGAACUGCCAUACCUUAGUAUUUAAAAUAUGGAU